rnacentral:tRNA from 1 species
GGAGGUGCUCGGCUCGCUGGUGCGGCCCCCGGUCUUCAAAACCGCGGCAGGGUGCGAGGAGCAUCCCGGGCGGGUUCGAUUCCCGUGCACCUCCG